AUCCUACGGGGGGCAGCAGUGAGGAAUAUUGGUCAAUGGGCGGGAGCCUGAACCAGCCAAGUCGCGUGAGGGAAGAAGGUACUGAGUAUUGUAAACCUCUUUUGCCAGGGGACAAAGGCGGCCACGGGUGGCCGUAAGAGGGUACCUGGAGAAAAAGCAUCGGCUAACUCCGUGCCAGCAGCCGCGGUAAUACGUAUGGGGCAAGCGUUAUCCGGAUUUACUGGGUGUAAAGGGAGCGUAGGCGGCAGGGCAAGCCUGAUGUGAAAGCCCGGGGCUCAACCCCGGGACUGCAUUGGGAACUGCCC
rnacentral:rRNA from 1 species